rfam:TPA: Bos taurus chromosome 16, whole genome shotgun sequence.
UCCCUGGUGGCUCAGAGGGUAAAGUGUCUGCCUACAAUGCGGGAAAGCCAGGUUCGAUCCCUGGGUCGGGAA